rnacentral:rRNA from 1 species
GACGAACGCUGGCGGCGUGCCUAAUACAUGCAAGUCGAGCGAGCGAAACUAACAGAUUUACUUCGGUAAUGACGUUAGGAAAGCGAGCGGCGGAUGGGUGAGUAACACGUGGGGAACCUGCCCCAUAGUCUGGGAUACCACUUGGAAACAGGUGCUAAUACCGGAUAAGAAAGCAGAUCGCAUGAUCAGCUUUUAAAAGGCGGCGUAAGCUGUCGCUAUGGGAUGGCCCCGCGGUGCAUUAGCUAGUUGGAAAGGUAAAGGCUUACCAAGGCGAUGAUGCAUAGCCGAGUUGAGAGACUGAUCGGCCACAUUGGGACUGAGACACGGCCCAAACUCCUACGGGAGGCAGCAGUAGGGAAUCUUCCACAAUGGACGCAAGUCUGAUGGAGCAACGCCGCGUGAGUGAAGAAGGUUUUCGGAUCGUAAAGCUCUGUUGUUGGUGAAGAAGGAUAGAGGUAGUAACUGGCCUUUAUUUGACGGUAAUCAACCAGAAAGUCACGGCUAACUACGUG